AUUUUUUCGUGCCUAAAAAUGUUAAAAAAAAUUAUUACAAGGCAAAGAAGAUUAGCAAAUCCCCUGCACAAGUAUGACUCGCAAACUCAUGAAGCGUUCCAGAAAAUU
rnacentral:snRNA from 1 species